rnacentral:misc_RNA from 1 species
GAUGAAGAACGUAGCGAAAUGCGAUAAGUAGUGUGAAUUGCAGAAUUCAGUGAAUCAUCGAAUCUUUGAACGCACAUUGCGCCCCUUGGUAUUCCAUGGGCAUGCCUGUUCGAGCGUCAUUUGUACCUUCAAGCUUUGCUUGGUGUUGGGUGUUUGUCUCGCCUUUGCGUGUAGACUCGCCUUAAAAUAAUUGGCAGCCGGCGUAUUGAUUUCGGAGCGCAGUACAUCUCGCGCUUUGCACUCAUAACGACAGCGUCCAAAAGUACAUUUUACACUCUUGACCUCGGAUCAGGUAGGGAUACCCGCUGAACUUAAGCAUAUCAAUAAGCGGAGGA